rnacentral:rRNA from 1 species
AACGAACGCUGGCGGCAUGCCUAACACAUGCAAGUCGAACGCGACCUUCGGGUCUAGUGGCUCACGGGUGCGUAACGCGUGGGAACCUGCCCUUAGGUUCGGAAUAACUCCCCGAAAGGGGUGCUAAUACCGGAUAAUGUCUUCGGACCAAGGAUUUAUCGCCUUUGGAUUGGCCCGCGUUGGAUUAGCUAGUUGGUAGGGUAAAAGCCUACCAAAGCGACGAUCCAUAGCUGGUCUGAGAGGAUGAUCAGCCACACUGGGACUGAGACACGGCCCAGACUCCUACGGGAGGCAGCAGUGGGGAAUAUUGGACAAUGGGCGAAAGCCUGAUCCAGCAAUGCCGCGUGAGUGAUGAAGGCCUUAGGGUUGUAAAGCUCUUUUACCCGGGAUGAUAAUGACAGUACCGGGAGAAUAAGCACCGGCUAACUCCGUG